GGGGAUGUAUUUGGCUUCGACAGAGAUAUUCUCAUUCUUUCAAGGGCAAUGACGGGGUCGCGCUGUCCCCCGGUAUAUCCGUCCAGCGCAAAAAUAAGUGCUAAUAAUUUAGCUGAUCGUGCAGAAAAAGCUACUGUUGCAAUCCUUCGGGCUUCGCAACCCUUAGCUCUCGCUGCAUAAAAUUACCCGACAAUUUCGGGUAUCGUCUGAUUUUCCGACGUCCACUGAGAAUUUCAGGCGCUAUUUAGUGGGCUAGAUGACCUGCUUGCCUCGCAGUAAUUCGAAAUAUUUUGGCUAAGCCUAGUAGGUUUUCUGUUCGUCUUUUAUCUGCUAGGUCGAAAACUUAAGACUAACUAUCAUUGUAGAACUUAAAGAUUGAAUCUUUGCACCCGGGUUCGACUCCCGGCAUCUCCACCA
rnacentral:tmRNA from 1 species